rnacentral:rRNA from 1 species
UACGAAGGGUGCUAGCGUUGUUCGGAAUCAUUGGGCGUAAAGCGUGCGUAGGCGGUUUGAUAAGUCGGCUGUGAAAGCCCAGGGCUUAACCUUGGAAUUGCAGUCGAAACUGUCAAGCUUGAGUAUGGCCGGGGAUAGUGGAAUUCUUAGUGUAGGGGUGAAAUCCGUAGAUAUUAAGAGGAACACCGGUGGCGAAAGCGACUAUCUAGACCAUUACUGACGCUAAGGCACGAAAGCGUGGGGAGCAAACAGGAUUAGAUACCCGUGUAGU